rnacentral:rRNA from 1 species
CCUACGGGAGGCAGCAGUGGGGAAUUUUGGACAAUGGGCGCAAGCCUGAUCCAGCUAUGCCGCGUGUGGGAUGAAGGUCCUCGGGUUGUAAACCACUUUAUUUGAGAACGAAAAGGAGCUAACGAAUAAAUAGCUCUGUUGACGGUACUCUAAGAAUAAGCAUCGGCUAACUACGUGCCAGCAGCCGCGGUAAUACGUAGGGUGCGAGCGUUAAUCGGAAUUACUGGGCGUAAAGGGUGUGCAGGCGGCUGGUUAAGACAGAUGUGAAAGCCCCGGGCUUAACCCGGGAACCGCAUGUGUGACUGGAAGGCUAGAGUGCGUGAGAGGGAGGUGGAAUGCGAGGUGUAGCAGUGAAAUGCGUAGAUAUGUGGAAGAACACCGAUGGCGAAGGCAGCCUGCUGGGACGAAACUGACGCUGAUGCACGAAAGCGUGGGGAGCAAACAGGAUUAGAUACCCGUGUAGUC